AGAGUUUGAUCCUGGCUCAGGACGAACGCUGGCGGCGUGCCUAACACAUGCAAGUCGAGCGAUGAAGCCCUUCGGGGUGGAUUAGCGGCGGACGGGUGAGUAACACGUGGGUAACCUGCCUCAAAGAGGGGGAUAGCCUCCCGAAAGGGAGAUUAAUACCGCAUAACAUUGGUUUUUCGCAUGAAGAACCAAUUAAAGGAGCAAUCCGCUUUGAGAUGGACCCGCGGCGCAUUAGCUAGUUGGUGAGGUAAAGGCUCACCAAGGCGACGAUGCGUAGCCGACCUGAGAGGGUGAUCGGCCACAUUGGAACUGAGACACGGUCCAGACUCCUACGGGAGGCAGCAGUGGGGAAUAUUGCACAAUGGGCGAAAGCCUGAUGCAGCAACGCCGCGUGAGUGAUGAAGGCCUUCGGGUUGUAAAGCUCUGUCUUUUGGGACGAUAAUGACGGUACCAAAGGAGGAAGCCACGGCUAACUACGUGCCAGCAGCCGCGGUAAUACGUAGGUGGCGAGCGUUGUCCGGAUUUACUGGGCGCAAAGGAUGCGUAGGCGGAUAUUUAAGUGAGAUGUGAAAUACCCGAGCUUAACUUGGGUGCUGCAUUUCAAACUGGAUAUCUAGAGUGCGGGAGAGGAGAAUGGAAUUCCUAGUGUAGCGGUGAAAUGCGUAGAGAUUAGGAAGAACACCAGUGGCGAAGGCGAUUCUCUGGACCGUAACUGACGCUGAGGCAUGAAAGCGUGGGUAGCAAACAGGAUUAGAUACCCUGGUAGUCCACGCCGUAAACGAUGAGUACUAGGUGUAGGA
rnacentral:rRNA from 1 species